rnacentral:lncRNA from 1 species
GAAGCAGUUGAGAUAAUCAAAUUAUCUGCAACAAUGCAAACAAAGAAAUAAGAACCUUGAUGAAGAAAGAGCUAGGAUUUGCUCAAAGGAUUUGGAAAGAAGGGUAGAUCCGAUAGUAUGCAAAAUCAGCUCAUCUUAUAAUCUGUGCUAAUGAGAUUUACCAUAAUAGUCCACAUCAAGUUAUGCCAUGCCAUACCGAACCAAGCAGUAUGUAGCAUACGUUACCAUACCGGUUUAGUACUAGUACACACUACGCCGCGCGUGCGUGCGGGGGGUGGGGGAGAGGGGGGCACUCA